CGCGGAAUGAAAGUGAACGGAGGUGGUCACCCUUAAGGGCGCACCAUCGACCGAUCCGGAAGUUUACGGAUGGAUUUGAGUAAGAGCAUAACUAUUGGGACCCGAAAGAUGGUGAACUAUGCCUGAAUAGGGUGAAGCCAGGGGAAACCCUGGUGGAGGCUCGCAGCGGUUCUGACGUGCAAAUCGAUCGUCAAAUUUGGGUAUAGGGGCGAAAGACUAAUCGAACCAUUACGCUAGUAGCUGGUUCCUGUCGAAGUUUCCCUCAGGAUAGCAGUAACGUUUUCAGUUUUAUGAGGUAAAGCGAAUGAUUAGAGGCCUUAGGGAUGAAACAUCCUUAACCUAUUCUCAAACUUUAAAUAUGUAAGAAGUCCUUGUUACUUAGUUGAACGUGGACAUUUGAAUGUACCGUUACUAGUGGGCCAUUUUUGGUAAGCAGAACUGGCGAUGCGGGAUGAACCGAACGCGAGGUUAAGGUGCCGGAAUGCACGCUCAUCAGACACCACAAAAGGUGUUAAUUCAUCCAGACAGCAGGACGGUGGCCAUGGAAGUCGGAAUCCGCUAAGGAGUGUGUAACAACUCACCUGCCGAAUGAAUUAGCCCUGAAAAUGGAUGGCGCUCAAGCGUGCUACCCAUACCUCGCCGCCAGGGUAGAAACGAUGCCCUGGCGA
rnacentral:rRNA from 1 species